CUUGCGGUCACAUCACAUUGAAACACGCGUUCCUGUACGAUCACCGAUGUUAAGCAACGUUAAGGCUGGUCAGUAACGAGAUGAGUUACCGCUUGGUAAUACCAGGUGCUGUAAG